UAAAUCAUUCUGUUAUAAAGACACAUGAACACAUAUGUCCACUGCAGCAAUAUACACAAUAGCAAAAACAUGGAAUCAAUCUAAAUUGUCCAUCAACGAUAGACUGUAUAAAGAAAAUGUGGCACAUAUACACCAUGGAAUACAAUGCAGCUAUAAGGAACAACCAGAUGAUGUCCUUUGCAGGGACGUGAAUGGAGCUGCAGUCCAUUAUUCUUAGCAAGCUAACACAGGAAUAGAAAACCAAAUAUCUCCAUGUUCUCUUAUAAGUGGGAGCUAAAUGAUAAGAACACAUGGACACAUAGAGGGGAAGAACACACUCAGAGUUCCUGAAACCAUUGGUCUGGUUUCCAAUGAGUGGGGCAAUCAGACACACAAGCACACCAAGGCUUAACCGCUCUGCUCACUGGAAGGGAAAGAAACUACCCAGGAAUGCCACCUGCUUCCAACUAGCUGAUCCCAUGAUUGAGGCUCUAGGGAAUUUCUCUUUACCUGCUGAGAUAUUUCUGUCUUGGGGAACCUCCUUUCUCUUCUUGCCACUGCACCAGCUGCCAACUACACUUCCUUACCACAGGGCAAGUGACAUCUGAAGAGGCUGACAGACUUCAGAGCUGGGUAAGGCAACCAGAAUACCCCCUGAACUGCCUCUGCCUGUUCUGUGAUGUCACCUGACCUCUGCUCUGUUUACAUAUAGCUGCUUGUGACAUCAUCUGGGCAUGUAUGGUAUCUGUAUCUACGUCAAGACCUGGGCUUUGCUCCACUUGGAGUCAGCUGAUUGACAGGAGGGCAUCUGAAAUUGAGAGGAGAUUUCAGGACGUUUACCCAGCCCUUUAGUGGGGAUCUGUCCGGGACUGUGCAGUCUGAACCUGCAACUGUAAAAGUCUCAGGAUGUAACCUUGAAGCAAACUGCAGAAACCAUUGCCUCAGUCUUCAAGUAGAACCUUGAAAUAUACUUUGGAACCACACCCCAUUCAGUUUCCCACUGUACAUGUCCAUGCCUUAUACACAUUUAUCUAACUGUAUGCUGGCGAAACUCACACAAUGCAUAAUUAUCUAACUAUAUGCCUGUCAAAAAAUACCAGAGGCUAAUUUAAAAUGAAUCAAACAUACAGGCCCAGCUGUGGUAUUGUCUCUCUCUUAAAGAUUGCCUCUGGAUGGAUACCUAUGGUCUGGCACUAUCAAGAUGGUAUCAGUCUGUGGCUCCAGGUGGACCAUAACUCAAGAUACACAUGGGAGUAAGACACAGACUCCCUGAAUCUGCACACCUCCUGCAUGCCUCCCAUGUUAUGCAUUAUGCUUCCCUUUCUUUAAAAACCUGCCCUCAGUCCAACCUUGUGAACUGGUUUAUACAGGUGUCAUCCAGCCAUUUCCCUACUGCUGGAUUUGAAAAAUAAAGUCACUUUCC
rnacentral:lncRNA from 1 species